UGGGGAAUAUUGGACAAUGGGCGAAAGCCUGAUCCAGCCAUGCCGCGUGUGUGAAGAAGGCCUUUUGGUUGUAAAGCACUUUAAGCGAGGAGGAGGCUACUUGGAUUAAUACUCUAGGAUAGUGGACGUUACUCGCAGAAUAAGCACCGGCUAACUCUGUGCCAGCAGCCGCGGUAAUACAGAGGGUGCGAGCGUUAAUCGGAUUUACUGGGCGUAAAGCGUGCGUAGGCGGCUUCUUAAGUCGGAUGUGAAAUCCCUGAGCUUAACUUAGGAAUUGCAUUCGAUACUAGGAAGCUAGAGUAUGGGAGAGGAUGGUAGAAUUCCAGGUGUAGCGGUGAAAUGCGUAGAGAUCUGGAGGAAUACCGAUGGCGAAGGCAGCCAUCUGGCCUAAUACUGACGCUGAGGUACGAAAGCAUGGGGAGCAAACAGG
rnacentral:rRNA from 1 species